rnacentral:tRNA from 5 species
GGGGCCUUAGCUCAGCUGGGAGAGCACCUGCCUUACAAGCAGGGGGUCGGCGGUUCGAUCCCGUCAUCCUCCACCA